rnacentral:rRNA from 1 species
UUGAACGCUGGCGGCAUGCCUUACACAUGCAAGUCGAACGGUAACAGGUUAAGCUGACGAGUGGCGAACGGGUGAGUAAUAUAUCGGAACGUGCCCAGUUGUGGGGGAUAACUACUCGAAAGAGUGGCUAAUACCGCAUGAGACCUGAGGGUGAAAGCGGGGGAUCGCAAGACCUCGCGCAAUUGGAGCGGCCGAUAUCAGAUUAGCUAGUUGGUGGGGUAAAAGCCCACCAAGGCCACGAUCUGUAGCUGGUCUGAGAGGACGACCAGCCACACUGGGACUGAGCCACGGCCCAGACUCCUACGGGAGGCAGCAGGGGGGAAUUUUGGACAAUGGGCGAAAGCCUGAUCCAGCCAUGCCGCGUGCAGGAUGAAGGCCUUCGGGUUGUAAACUGCUUUUGUACGGAACGAAAAAGUCUUCUCUAAUACAGGGGGCGAAUGACGGUACCGUAAGAAUAAGCACCGGCUAACUACGU